AUAAGGAUACUGUUUCUCAAGAACGCUAACCACAUGCUCCACUUUGAGCUGAUCUCCUGUUUUUACUUUGUUAUAUAUCUGAAAGGGGGAUACAAAUACAAGUUUACAGCUGCAACUGUAAAGUGUCUGUCCUUAUCAAAGUUUCAGAGCUGAUGGUGAGAUAAGAUCCCAAGUUCCCAUGAACAGCCCAACAACACAUAAAAUCUCUCUUCUAAAAAGCCAUACGCACUGAAAUAGCAGAGCUUCUGAUGUCCACAGCAUAAUCAGAAUCUGAUGGCUGGAUGUUCAACUUCAGAACAUUGUGCAGGGAAAGCCCCUCAAUUCCUAAGCUGUGUAGGCCUUCCAUAACACGGGCUUCAUUGCGCAGCACAUCAAUCAAGCUGGAAGGAAAAGAGAAAUCAUUGAUGAAUUUUAAAGACAAGGACCACACUGGACAACAGUGUCAAAUUGCAUCCCUUCUUUUCUGAUUUUAUCCCUAUUGAACAACAAGGAAUUUCUCUUUGAGAACAGGAAUCUCCAUGGACUUGUAAGUAGAUGUCAGUGAGCAAAGAUACCUCGUGGACAAGAAAACCACUGAAAACCACAAAGUAAAGAGGAACACAAAACGAUGUUUUCAGGAUUCAGCAUAAGCCAAAUAGGACAGGACAGACUCACAUCAUCAAAUCAAGUAAGAGGAGGAAAAGGAACUUCAGCUGUGAAGUUCAGAAAUGAAACAUUCAUUACAAAAAAGUAAUAAGUCAGCGACUCAACAGAGAUGUAUAAUUAGGUCUGUUUUUACUGGGAAAAAAUGUGAUGACUUCUUAGAAGUAUUCUGAAGUAUACAGGAGUCCCGCAACUGUAUACAGAUCUCUUGUGCAGUACACUUAAUUUUGAAUGUAAGUACUCCAUCCAACACUGAUAAACAAAUACCUUUUUAA